GCGUGGCCGGCAGAGUUUACUUUGAAAAAAUUAGAGUGCUCAAAGCAGGCUACACUGAUGGCCUGAAUGCCUGUGCAUGGAAUAAUGGAAUAGGACCUCGGUUCUAUUUUGUCGGUUUUCUGAACCCGAGGUAAUGACUAAUAGGAACAGGCGGGGGCAUUCGUAUUGCGACGCUAGAGGUGAAAUUCUUGGACCGUCGCAAGACGAACUACUGCGAAAGCAUUUGCCAAGGAUGUUUUCAUUAAUCAAGAACGAAAGUUAGAGGUUCGAAGGCGAUCAGAUACCGUCCUAGUUCUAACCAUAAACGAUGCUGACCAGCGAUCCGCCGGUGUUAUUCCCAUGACCCGGCGGGCAGCUUCCGGGAAACCAAAGUCUUUGGGUUCCGGGGGAAGUAUGGUUGCAAAGCUGAAACUUAAAGGAAUUGACGGAAGGGCACCACCAGGAGUGGAGCCUGCGGCUUAAUUUGACUCAACACGGGGAACCUCACCAGGCCCAGACACCGGAAGGAUUGACAGAUUGAGAGCUCUUUCUCGAUUCGGUGGGUGGUGGUGCAUGGCCGUUCUUAGUUGGUGGAGCGAUUUGUCUGGUUAAUUCCGAUAACGAACGAGACUCUGGCCUACUAACUAGUCGACGGAUCUCCAGCAAUUGGUGUCCAGUUCGCAGCUUCUUCUUAGAGGGAUAAGCGGCAAUUCUAGCCGCACGAGAUUGAGCAAUAACAGGUCUGUGAUGCCCUUAGAUGUUCUGGGCCGCACGCGCGCUACACUGAAGGGAUCAACGUGUCCUCCCCCUCCGAGAGGAGCGGGUAACCCGUUGAAAUCCUUUCAUGAUAGGGAUUGGGGUUUGCAAUUGUCUCCCAUGAACGAGGAAUUCCCAGUAAGCGCAAGUCAUGAGCUUGCGUUGAUUACGUCCCUGCCCUUUGUAC
rnacentral:rRNA from 1 species